rnacentral:misc_RNA from 1 species
UAUGAAGAACGCAGCGAAAUGCGAUACGUAGUGUGAAUUGCAGAAUUCAGUGAAUCAUCGAAUCUUUGAACGCACAUUGCACCUCUCGGUAUUCCGGGAGGUAUGCCUGUUCGAGCGUCAUUUGUACCCUCAAGCUCUGCUUGGUGUUGGGUGUUUGUUCCGCCUCUGUGUGUGAACUCGCCUCAAAACAAUUGGCAGCCGGCGUACUUGUUUCGGAGCGCAGCACAUUUUGCGAUCCAGAUCAACGUACAGCGGCAUCCAAGAAGCCUUAUUUAACGCUCUUGACCUCGGAUCAGGUAGGGAUACCCGCUGAACUUAAGCAUAUCAAUAAGCGGAGGA